GACGAACGCUGGCGGCGUGCUUAAUACAUGCAAGUCAACUGAACUUAAGGUAGCAAUAUUUUAAGGGAGGUGGCGCACGGGUGAGUAACACGUAGGUAAUCUGCCUUUAGGUCUGACACAACCUACCGAAAGGUAGGCUAAUAUCAGAUGAUGCAGCGGCUCGACAUCGAGACAGUUGUUAAACCUUCGGGGCCUAAAGAUGAGCCUGCGUCUGAUUAGGUAGUUGGCGGAGUAAUAGCCCACCAAGCCUGCGAUCAGUAGCUGGUCUGAGAGGAUGAUCAGCCACACUGGAACUGAGACACGGUCCAGACUCCUACGGGAGGCAGCAGUAAGGAAUAUUGCUCAAUGGCCGAAAGGCUGAAGCAGCAACGCCGCGUGGAGGAUGAAAUAC
rnacentral:rRNA from 1 species